AAGUUCUUCUACCAAGAUUUGAACUCAUUCAAAUCUUCUGGAUGGAGCAGAUUCUUGUUAUGUUCCUCAUGAUCGAUGCUUAUGGCAGUUGAAUCUUCUCCUUUAAUUGUUUUCUCCCCUUCUACUAUGGACUAAUUUUCUCGCUUUUUCUAGUCGAUUCCUGAGUUGAGACAUUAAGAGUUAUAACUUUGUAUUGUAGUUGAUGUUCAGUAUUGAUUCCCAUGCAUUGCAGAUCAUGCUCCCUUUAUUCUGAGAUAUUAAAUAUAUGUUGUUUCUAUCAGUGUAUCAUAUCUAUAUCAAUGUUAUGUAUCACCUUGCUUAGAUCUGAAAGAUUAUUUGCAGGUCAUAGUUCAUUUCUCUUCUUAUUGGUGUAUGCCUUCGAACGAAUCCUUUCUUUGAAGAAGAAUUAUAUUGGCAUCCCCCAUCAAGAUGUCGUCUUCCAAUGCCAUAAGCCCUUGUUUUGAAGUUACGAACCGUCUUUCCAGAAGCUAAGGUUGCUUACACCGGGGAGAACCAUCUGCGCCGAGAAAGUGAAAAAUGGGAAAAUGUUGCUUCCUCGUUAUAGUGAUCAUGUCAGUUUAUGACCUUUGUUUUCCAAUUAACUUUGGUUGGCUCAGAUCAACAUAAACAUAGCUUGGCAUAGCUGAGAAAUGAAGGCUUUACCUUACUAGUAGAAAAUAAAGGAUUAUCUAAUGAUGAUUGAUGAUAAUGGUAGUAGUAACAAUAAUAUUUGAUAGAGCCAUGAAACAAAAUGUCAAUAUUGUACUAUGUCUCUUCAUUGAUUAUAUACCACAGCACCCACACAACAAAGUGUUGCUUCUCAUUCUUCUCUACUCUACUAGUUCAAAUACUUAGUAUGAAGGACUAUGAUGUGUAUAGUAAAAGCUCUGAAGGAGGAGCUUGACCAUAAUCAAUUGUUGCUACGUUUAGGUCUUGUAA